GAUGAAGAACGUAGCGAAAUGCGAUAAGUAAUGUGAAUUGCAGAAUUCAGUGAAUCAUCGAAUCUUUGAACGCACAUUGCGCCCGCCAGCACUCUGGCGGGCAUGCCUGUUCGAGCGUCAUUUCAACCAUCAAGCCCCCAGGGGCUUGUGCUGGGGCCCUGCGGCUGCCCGCAGGCCCUGAAAACCAGUGGCGGGCUCGCUAGUCACACCGAGCGCAGUAGCACAUCUCGCUCAGGGCGUGCGGCGGGCUCCUGCCGUGAAACCCCCCACUGUAACCCCAAAGGUUGACCUCGGAUCAAGUAGGAAUACCCGCUGAACUUAAGCAUAUCAAUAAGCGGAGGA
rnacentral:misc_RNA from 1 species